AACGAACGCUGGCGGCAGGCUUAACACAUGCAAGUCGAACGCAUCCUUCGGGGUGAGUGGCAGACGGGUGAGUAACGCGUGGGAACGUGCCCUUCAGUUCGGGAUAACCCAGGGAAACUUGGGCUAAUACCGGAUACGUGCGAGAGCAGAAAGAUUUAUCGCUGAAGGAUCGGCCCGCGUCUGAUUAGCUAGUUGGUGGGGUAAUGGCCCACCAAGGCGACGAUCAGUAGCUGGUCUGAGAGGAUGAUCAGCCACAUUGGGACUGAGACACGGCCCAAACUCCUACGGGGGGCAGGAGUGGGGAAUAUUGGACAAUGGGCGCAAGCCUGAUCCAGCCAUGCCGCGUGGGUGAUGAAGGCCUUAGGGUUGUAAAGCUCUUUCGUCCGGGACGAUAAUGACGGUACCGGAAGAAGAAGCCCCGGCUAACUUCGUGCCAGCAGCAGCCGCCG
rnacentral:rRNA from 1 species